UGGGGAAUUUUGGACAAUGGGCGAAAGCCUGAUCCAGCAAUGCCGCGUGUGUGAAGAAGGCCUUCGGGUUGUAAAGCACUUUUGUCCGGAAAGAAAUCCUUGGCUCUAAUACAGUCGGGGGAUGACGGUACCGGAAGAAUAAGCACCGGCUAACUACGUGCCAGCAGCCGCGGUAAUACGUAGGGUGCAAGCGUUAAUCGGAAUUACUGGGCGUAAAGCGUGCGCAGGCGGUUUGCUAAGACCGAUGUGAAAUCCCCGGGCUCAACCUGGGAACUGCAUUGGUGACUGGCAGGCUAGAGUAUGGCAGAGGGGGGUAGAAUUCCACGUGUAGCAGUGAAAUGCGUAGAGAUGUGGAGGAAUACCGAUGGCGAAGGCAGCCCCCUGGGCCAAAUACUGACGCUCAUGCACGAAAGCGUGGGGAGCAAACAGGAUUAGAUACCCUGGUAGUCCACGCCCUAAACGAUGUCAACUAGUUGUUGGGGAUUCAUUUCCUUAGUAACGUAGCUAACGCGUGAAGUUGACCGCCUGGGGAGUACGGUCG
rnacentral:rRNA from 1 species